ensembl:lncRNA
GAAGGAGAAUUACUCGUUUAAAUUAAAUCGUAAGCCCCGAGCCUGGCUGCAGUGGGAUGGAGAGACCCCCACCACCACCUUGGAAAAAUAAAAGAUGUGGAAGGCCCCUCUGGGUGGUUUGGACCUGGCAGAGAGGCGUGGGGGGCUGCGGCUGGAUGCCCGGUGUAAUGGAGCCAGCCUGUAGGGGGUAUUUAACAUUUAAUUCCCAGCCGGUCCGCCCCUGUUCCCGGACUGACAGUGGGUAAUUGGGAAAGAGGACGUUGCUCUUUUGAUGGCCCGCGCCGGCCAGUCUCGCCGACGCCACACUGGGUUUGACGUCACGGGCCCAGCCCCAGAGCCAGGAGCGCAGAGCAGGGGGAAGGGAAGAGGAGGGGAGGGGGAUACCCGCGAGGGAGGGCCGAGGUCGGCCCCGGGACCCACGGGGAAGGAAGGGGGAAGGGAGCGAGGCCGGAGAGAGGCUGCGGCGCUUGGCCUGAGGCGGAGAGCCGGGCUGCGGGGGUCUGGGCCAGGCCAGGCGCCGGCCUGACCCGCCUCGCCGGCAAAUGCAGGCCGGGCUUCCUCCUCCGAGGGCGGGCGGGCGAUGGGAGGGGGCUCGAGGCCGGGGAAGGGGGGAAAGGUGGUCCUGAUUCCCCCAUGCAGUGGCACACCAAGCUGACGCUGGCCUCCUGCGGAGACGCCUCAGCGCCCUCCUGCAGACCUCACGCCCCCCCACCCCCAGGAACCCCGGCCCUGGCCUGGUCUAGCGAGUCCCCCCUCCUCCCCGGGAGCAGCCGGUGAAGCUCCGGUGGAGGAAGCGAGGAGGAGACCCAGGAGGAGGAUGCCGCUGCCGCUGCCGCCGCCGCCGCCGCUGCAGGGCCCAGGGCUCCUGUAGGGCACGAGGCCUCCCACAUCAGGUCCCCACCCGAGCCCCCGUCUCUUUCCCGCAUGAGCUGAAAUGAAGAGAAGGAAGCGAAACCAAAAGGAAACCCUCCCGGGCCUGGAGGGGCAGCGAGAGAUGGGGAGUCAGAGACAAGAGAUGCGCUCCGAGAUUACCCCCUCCCGCCCCGCCCCCACCGCCAGCCUGGGACCUCCAGCUUCAAGCGAUCCUGGCCCUCCCUCUGCCGCUUCCCCCCUUCUCCCCGGUUGAGAAAAACCCUGAUGGUAUCGAGAUAAAAAUUGGACCCGAUGGGGAAAUCUGCGCUUCUGCCCGCCUCAAAGGUGUCAAGAAGCCACCUUCCCGCGGGCCCCCUCCGCCUCUCCAUCCCUCCAGGACUGCGCCCUGCCGGCCGUCUCUCCCCGCCAGGCCCCGGCUCGCGCUCGGCUCGCCGCCGCCUGCCACCUCGUGGAGCCCAAGCAAUUUGUUACAUAAAACAAAACAGCAGCCACACACAUGUGCCUGCAGACCCGCAGCGACGGACACCCAGGGAGACCUCCGCUCAAGCGCCUCGGGCCCCGUGUUUCUUUCUGUCCAUCUAAGGGCCGCAUCCACCGCCACCACCUCUGGUCGCAUCUGCCCGGCGACCAGAAGCUAAGGCAGUUCGGACUCGCGCUCCCGGGCUUGCUGGCCCACUCGCGGCGUUGCCAACCCUCUCUCCGCUGACUCCGACCGUUGAGAAAAAGAGGGGAUCAGAAAUAUUUGGUGCGCGCACAAAGACGUACCACGAAAGGCAUGCACAUUUCUGUGUGAAAUGGCUCAGAUGCGAGAAUGAGACACCGCCUCAGUGCAGCCAGCCCAGAAAUGGUUAGAAUAACCUGGUGCUGGAGAACACUGGGCUUCCGAACUCUGCCCCCAUACAUCUUAUCAGGACCCCGAAUUCCCUGCCACCUCCCAUGUUCCCCGACACAAGCUGCCUUAACCUCCAGGAGAGGGAUUCUCAGCCACCCGGCUCCCACGUACCUGCCCCCUCCCCAGGCUCUCUGUGUCACUCUGGGCUGGGGGGCUCCCAAAAGAGGCUCCACCACUGAGUGUCCAGGGGCAGCUACUCCCAUCUCUUCACUGCACCCCGACUUACCCCACCUCGUGUAACACCUGGAAAUAUCAAAUAAAGGAAAAUGCAGUGUCCCCUGUCUCCAGACUUUUCGCAGGACAGACUAACCCCAACCCUGAGUCCCCCAGGGUUGACAGAGAUAUCUUGUGUAGAAUGGAGGGUGGGCCUGUGGGAUGCAGGGGCUUGUAUGCUGAGUGCCACACACCCACAUCAUCGAACUCAGCUGGCUCCUCAAGCCAGGAACCUUAGGCCUCUCAAGGUGACUGGCUGGAAGCUGGAAGCUGGACUCCCUGCCUGAUCCCACUCCGGAAUCGAUAAUGGGAGCCCAUGGGACCCAACACCCACCUGGGUCUUGGUCUGUCUGACCUGGACCCCAUACCCCAGCCCAGGUUCAAAUGGACAGACCACAAUUCCUGUCCUCAGAACCACACAGCUGUU